rnacentral:sRNA from 1 species
UUGACCGCAUUGAAGACUGAAAUGCUCUCUUUAUCCACAGAACAGAUACAGCCCGGGAGACGGCAGUGCAACGUGCCCAUGUGCCUAAACCCUGACUUGGAGGGGCAGCCGUUGAGAAUGAGAGGUGAGUUGAGUCGUGGAAUCUCAGACUGCGCAAGCU